rnacentral:rRNA from 1 species
GAUGAACGCUGGCGGCGUGCCUAAUACAUGCAAGUCGAGCGAACAGACGAGGAGCUUGCUCUUCUGACGUUAGCGGCGGACGGGUGAGUAACACGUGGAUAACCUACCUAUAAGACUGGGAUAACUUCGGGAAACCGGAGCUAAUACCGGAUAAUAUAUUGAACCGCAUGGUUCAAUAGUGAAAGACGGUCUUGCUGUCACUUAUAGAUGGAUCCGCGCCGCAUUAGCUAGUUGGUAAGGUAACGGCUUACCAAGGCAACGAUGCGUAGCCGACCUGAGAGGGUGAUCGGCCACACUGGAACUGAGACACGGUCCAGACUCCUACGGGAGGCAGCAGUAGGGAAUCUUCCGCAAUGGGCGAAAGCCUGACGGAGCAACGCCGCGUGAGUGAUGAAGGUCUUCGGAUCGUAAAACUCUGUUAUUAGGGAAGAACAUAUGUGUAAGUAACUGUGCACGUCUUGACGGUACCUAAUCAGAAAGCCACGGCUAACUACGUG